UAGCUACCAAGCCACACCCAAUAAUUUUUCGCAGAGGAAACAAUGCCCCCAGCAGCAAUUGUUUACCCAAAAACACAGGGCUGCUUUGUGGAAUCCUAGUAUUAGAAAGACGGUGCCUAUCCCCGAGCCAAGUGUUAGUUUCUAGUGUUAUGGAUUCUUUGCGCCCUCUUUAGGGUUUGGUUUUGAUACCAUCAACCAUGGCUAUAAAUCGGCGAGAAUAGUAUAUUUGGAGCAUUAAGGAGACAAUACUGCCACCAUUGAUUGAGCUUCACUUGCUGAAGAGUGGAUGCUGGAGAAUGGUGGAAAAUGAUUUCAAACACGUCAUCCGUCGGGGUUCAAGGUCGGCUUUUCUGAACAGAGCUUGUCAAUGGACAACUGUGAGUUCCCAAAGGGAUCAUAUAGACUUGAUUGUUACUGUUUUUGAUGGAUUGCUUUCAUUGGUUGUCUUGUAGAGAAGGUUCUGUAGGGAAGGACAUGAUUCCAUUCGGGCACUGAAAGAGUAUGGUGAUGCCAAAUCUUGGAUUAAGGUUUUCAAUAUUGACCAUUUGAAAGGUCGGGUUUCUGAUUUUGUUGGAUUUAAGAAAAAUGGUGAGAUGUUUUUAUUGCUUGGAAUGGAGAGCUAAUUUCUUACUCGAAGACAAAAAAAAGGGAGCUGUAGAAUUUGGGGCUCUAAAAUACUGGCUCCCGCAGGUAAAUUUUACCUGGACUCUCAUGUGGAGAGUCUUGUCUUAUUGAAUGAAGCAAGUUCGACCUCAACUGACAAUUCUUCAGGCAAUGAAGAAACAAAGGAGCAUUCUUCCCGUGUUGCUGGUCUGGACAAGAACAAAAAUGAAAAGAAGAAGAAAGGGAUGAAGAUUAUGGAGAGUCCUGAAAUAGUGGAUGGAGAAAAUAGAAUUUUGGAGGGAGGUGCUUCAAGUUCUAGUGCUACUUCACGUGAUAUUGUCACUAAUGAAGGAAAUGGAAGCUGAAAAGAGCAUGAUCUCGGUGCUAAAAACUGGAAACAAACAGAGAAGAAGGAGAAGAAGAAGAAUGGGAUGAACAACAUGGAAAGCGAUGAUGAAGCAAAUGAAUUUCCAGGGAAGCAUAAUUUUCAGUCUAAUCUUGGUGGGACUGGAAUCGGAAAGUAGAGUCUGUUAUUUUAGAUUUUAUAGUAUAUGGGCUGCUUCCUCUGUUAAAAAGCAAAUUAUCAGACGAGACGAAUGAAGGCAUCUUCCUUCUGUCAAACAUUGCAUGGUUGACUUUGUAUCAACUGUACCAUCCUAAGGAACUGGUUUUUCUUAAUUAGAAACCACCUGUUGGGCAAAAAAAAUUACAGUUCUUUCACC